GUAAGUCGCGGCUGGUAGGCGGGGUAAUAGGGAGGGGGCAAGCGUUAUCCGGAUUUAUUGGGGUUAAAGGGUCCGUAGGCGGAAUUGUAAGUCAGUGGUGAAAUCUCAUAGCUUAACUAUGAAACUGCCAUUGAUACUGCAGGUCUUGAGUAAAUUUGAAGUGGCUGGAAUAAGUAGUGUAGCGGUGAAAUGCAUAGAUAUUACUUAGAACACCAAUUGCGAAGGCAGGUCACUAAGAUUUAACUGACGCUGAUGGACGAAAGCGUGGGUAGCGAACAGGAUUAGAUACCCAGUAGUC
rnacentral:rRNA from 1 species